UACGUAGGGCGCGAGCGUUGUCCGGAUUUAUUGGGCGUAAAGAGCUCGUAGGCGGCUUGUUGCGUCGGCUGUGAAAACCCGUGGCUUAACUGCGGGCUUGCAGCUGAUACGGGCGGGCUGGAGUUCGGUAGGGGAGACUGGAAUUCCUGGUGUAGCGGUGAAAUGCGCAGAUAUCAGGAGGAACACCGGUGGCGAAGGCGGGUCUCUGGGCCGAUACUGACGCUGAGGAGCGAAAGCGUGGGGAGCGAACAGG
rnacentral:rRNA from 1 species